rnacentral:rRNA from 1 species
AACGAACGCUGGCGGCAUGCCUAAUACAUGCAAGUCGAACGAACACUUCGGUGUUAGUGGCGCACGGGUGCGUAACGCGUGGGAAUCUGCCCUUGGGUUCGGAAUAACUUCGGGAAACUGAAGCUAAUACCGGAUGAUGACGUAAGUCCAAAGAUUUAUCGCCCAAGGAUGAGCCCGCGUAGGAUUAGCUUGUUGGUGAGGUAAAGGCUCACCAAGGCUACGAUCCUUAGCUGGUCUGAGAGGAUGAUCAGCCACACUGGGACUGAGACACGGCCCAGACUCCUACGGGAGGCAGCAGUAGGGAAUAUUGGACAAUGGGGGAAACCCUGAUCCAGCAAUGCCGCGUGAGCGAUGAAGGCCUUAGGGUUGUAAAGCUCUUUUACCCGGGAUGAUAAUGACAGUACCGGGAGAAUAAGCCCCGGCUAACUCCGUGCCAGCAGCCGCGGUAAUACGGAGGGGGCUAGCGUUGUUCGGAAUUACUGGGCGUAAAGCGCACGUAGGCGGCGAUCUAAGUCAGAGGUGAAAGCCCGGGGCUCAACCCCGGAAUAGCCUUUGAGACUGGAUUGCUAGAAUCUUGGAGAGGCGGGUGGAAUUCCGAGUGUAGAGGUGAAAUUCGUAGAUAUUCGGAAGAACACCAGUGGCGAAGGCGGCCCGCUGGACAAGUAUUGACGCUGAGGUGCGAAAGCGUGGGGGGCAAACAGGAUUAGAUACCCUGGUAGUCCACGCCGUAAACGAUGAUAACUAGCUGUCCGGGCUCAUGGAGUUCGGGUGGCGCAGCUAACGCAUUAAGUUAUCCGCCUGGGGAGUACGGUCGCAAGAUUA